CACCUAUCUAUUGGCAUGAAGAAGCUACCUUGAGAAAAACUUUAGUUCAGGGUCAGCAAAGAGCAUCCCUUGAGUAACCUUUGUUCUCUCUCUGAAAUUUCCAAACUAGUAAAACUGUUAGCAUGUUUUAGAAAAUCAGACUUACUUAAAUGUGUGACUGAGAAAACCAAGUUUUAUUUCUGUCUUCAAAGAUUUAGUCUAUUAAGAAUCUAUUGGAAGCAAUUUGCAAACUGCUUCUAGAAUGUCUUUUG
rnacentral:lncRNA from 1 species